rnacentral:lncRNA from 1 species
UGUACUUCCGUUACCCUUACAAUCUCUUUGACUUGUAUGUUUCCACGGAGGUUUUGGUGUGAUUGAAUAUAUCUUCACACUAAAUAUCGAUUUGUAUAGCAUAACAGAUUAACAGAUGACAUUGGUAUAAAACGACAUUUUGUACAUUGGAUACAUCUGGAAUAUUUACCAUGUUUUUUGAAGAUGAAAG